rfam:Cuculus canorus isolate BGI_N303 unplaced genomic scaffold scaffold75, whole genome shotgun sequence.
AUUAUGGUCUUAUUAAAGACCAUAAGCCGUAAAAAAAUAAAGUCAU